rnacentral:rRNA from 1 species
UGGCUGUAGCAAUACAGUCAAGUUGGAGUGGCGCAAGGGUGCGUAACACGUGGGUAAUUUGCCAUAGAGUUGGGGAUAACUCGCUGAAAGGCGAGCUAAUACCGAAUGUGAUCAUUGGGAGGCAUCUUUUGGUGAUCAAAGUUGGGGACCGCAAGGCCUGACGCUCUAUGAUAAGCCCGCGGCCUAUCAGCUAGUUGGUGAGGUAACGGCUCACCAAGGCUAAGACGGGUAGCUGGUCUGAGAGGACGACCAGCCACACUGGAACUGAGACACGGUCCAGACACCUACGGGUGGCAGCAGUCGAGAAUUUUUCUCAAUGGGCGCAAGCCUGAAGGAGCGACGCCGCGUGGGGGAUGAAUGGCUUCGGCCCGUAAACCCCUGUCAUUUGCGAACAAACCUCACGAGUGAACAACUCGUGAGCUGAUUGUAGCGGAAGAGGAAGGGACGGCUAACUCUGUGCCAGCAGCCGCGGUAAUACAGAGGUCCCAAGCGUUGUUCGGAUUCACUGGGCGUAAAGGGUGCGUAGGUGGCAGGGUAAGUUUGAUGUGAAAUCUCCGAGCUUAACUCGGAAACUGCAUUGAAUACUAUCCUGCUUGAGGAUUGGAGGGGAGACUGGAAUUCACGGUGUAGCA